rnacentral:rRNA from 1 species
CCUACGGGGGGCUGCAGUCGAGAAUCAUUCACAAUGGGGGAAACCCUGAUGGUGCGACGCCGCGUGGGGGAAUGAAGGUCUUCGGAUUGUAAACCCCUGUCAUGUGGGAGCAAAUUAAAAAGAUAGUACCACAAGAGGAAGAGACGGCUAACUCUGUGCCAGCAGCCGCGGUAAUACAGAGGCCUCAAGCGUUGUUCGGAAUCACUGGGCGUAAAGCGUGCGUAGGCUGUUUCGUAAGUCGUGUGUGAAAGGCGCGGGCGCAACCCGCGGACGGCACAUGAUACUGCGAGACUAGAGUAAUGGAGGGGGAACCGGAAUGCUCGGUGUAGCAGUGAAAUGCGUAGAUAUCGAGAGGAACACUCGUGGCGAAGGCGGGUUCCUGGACAUUAACUGACGCUGAGGCACGAAGGCCAGGGGAGCGAAAGGGAUUAGAUACCCCUGUAGUC